CCCUAUUCCCUUUCCCUCCCUCUCUCUCUCUACAGCUUGGAGCAGAUCUAGUUUGGAUUUCCUUUAGCCUUUACCCCUUCACUAAUUUUUAGGGUUUUAAAUAUGGCUUGGAGCAAAUCUAGUUGAGGUCGAAGCAUUUGGUGGAGGGUUUCUUGUAGAAAUUGCAUUUUGUAAGAGGUCCCAUUUUUGGAUUUUUUAGGCGUUUGGAGUUAUAGAUAUGAUUGGCAUUGAAGUGCUAAUUUCAAACGUGCUGAAGAAAGCGGAAGAGGAGUUCGAUUUCCAGACGUGCAGGGGCCUAAUUUUAUCAUGUGAGGUGAGUUUUUUCAAAGGGGUUUUGAAGAUUCUCGAGAAGGACGAGCAAAGAUUCUAUGGGGUGGGACUGGAAGAGGUUUUUAAGAUAUUUUUUUGAAGUGAGUUUUGAUCCUUGCAAGGGAGCGAUAGGAUCUUCCCAUGGUUUCAUGAUCCCAUUGCAGAAGACUAGGGUUUUGGGUUCAUUCUUGAUGCUCAAAGAUUGGUCGGAUGGUUCCAUGACGAGUCUAACUCGGGACUCACUGACAAUUCCAACUACUCCAACCCCAACCGCUAGUUAUUGUCGCAUCCUUCAAUUUCUUCAUGUGAAGCUCACUCGAUGGUUUUGAUCAGGUUCUUUCUUCCUACCUUCCUUUUUUCCCCCUUUGCCCCCUUUUGUAUAUUGUUGUUGUUGCUUUUUCCUUCUUCUUAGUUAGAUAGAGAAGUGAGGAACUGGUGCUAAUUUUGUAUGAUUGGAGAAAUGCUGAUGUUGUAAUUUGUAUCGAAUUGUGUUAUGGAGAUUGAUCUUUUAGAAUGUGGUGGUUUUGUAUUU